ensembl:misc_RNA
UUAACAGUCCUAGAGAUUGCCAUUUGCUCUAGUCACAGAACAGAUACAGCACAGCCAGCAGCAAUGCAAGCUCCCCCACAUUGCUCUGCCAAUGAAUCUCAAUCUGGAAGGGGUUAUGUUAAAGGCAAGAUGACAGAUCAGUCUCCAUGCCCCAUUCAAUCUUUGACCCCU